rnacentral:rRNA from 1 species
GUAGGUGGCAAGCGUUGUCCGGAAUUAUUGGGCGUAAAGCGCGCGCAGGCGGUUCUUUAAGUCUGAUGUGAAAGCCCACGGCUCAACCGUGGAGGGUCAUUGGAAACUGGGAGAACUUGAGUACAGAAGAGGAAAGCGGAAUUCCACGUGUAGCGGUGAAAUGCGUAGAGAUGUGGAGGAACACCAGUGGCGAAGGCGGCUUUCUGGUCUGUAACUGACGCUGAGGCGCGAAAGCGUGGGGGAGCAAACAGGAUUAGAUACCCUGGUAGUCCACGCCGUAAACGAUGAGUGCUAAGUGUUAGGGGGUUUCCGCCCCUUAGUGCUGCAGCUAACGCAUUAAGCACUCCGCCUGGGAGUACGGCCGCAAGGCUG